GGGGUUGUGGCUCAGUGGUAGAGUGCUUGCCUAGCAUGUAUGAGGUUAUACGUUUGAUCCUCAGUACCA
rnacentral:tRNA from 1 species